CCUAGCGGCAACUAUAACGGUCCUCCCGAAACCGGGGAAAGAUCCCGAACUCUGCAGCAGCUAUAGACCAAUAUCACUGCUAAAUGUGGACGUGAAGCUCCUCACCAAAAUACUAUCCACCAGAAUCGGGAGAAUACUCCCGAGAUUGGUCCAUCCAGAUCAGACGGGGUUCAUCCCUGGGAGGGAGGCUAGGGAUAGCACCCUUAGAGUACAAUCCAUCCAUCACCUGGCAAAGAGGUCAACUGAUAAGCUCCUACUACUGUCGACGGAUGCGGAAAAAGCAUUCGACCGGGUUGACUGGACAUUCCUUGUAGCCACACUUUGGGAAAUGGGCUUCGGAGGGAACAUGAUGAAAUGGAUUGAUGCGCUCUACCAUUGCCCCAAUGCGAAGGUGAGAGUAAACGGAGCGCUUACCGACUCCUUCCCGAUCCACAAUGGGACAAGACAGGGGUGUCCACUCUCCCCCAUGCUCUUCGCCCUGGCUCUCGAACCGUUCCUAGAAGCGGUGCGCACAUCGGAU